CCAUGCUGGGGAACCUGCUGGCAGAGUCCCCAGACACAGACAGGCUCCACUUCAUCUUGGAGCAUGUCAACCUCUGGGUCGUGUCCAGGGUGUCCCAGGAGCGAGCCAGGGCCAUCAGGAGCAGCACAGCCCUGCUGAGAUACACAGUCACCCUCCCUGAGUUUGACAUCUCAGCCGAGUUCCCUCGGAUGGGUCACCAUGUGGCCCAGCUGGCUCUAUUUGU